UAAUAAUAAUAAUAAUAAACGGUUUAUUAUUUAGGCAGUUAACAAACUGAAAAUGUACAUAGGGGGUGGGGAAAAACUUAACGUUAAUCCUAAAGAUAAGUCUAAUCUAGGAGGGAAAUACUAAUGAUUGAUGGCUCGCACCAUGGUGGGAAUCGCACUGAGUCUGUACCGGUCCGUGCGCGGCGCCUUCAGGGGCGUUAUUUUGUUGUGGUGUCUGGUGGCACGGACCGGGCGAGGCGCGUCAGGCGGCAGCAUGUUUCUGAGACGUGGAUGAUGCAAUAGUCCCCUCCCAAACUUCUCCAGAGCCUCUCGGUGCCUGGUGGAUAUUGUGGACAGACUCAGGGUGGUCAGGGCUUCUUCGUAGGUGGUGUAUGCAGGGCCAAGGAUGACCCUGCACGCCCUUUUCUGCACACUCUCUAGCUGUAGCUGUUGAGUGUGUGUGAGGGAGGAGGACCACGCUGGGGAGGCGUACAUGAGUUUGGGGAGGAUGAAGAAGGAUGGUGCAGGACACACACACACAUGCUGAGUGAUGAAGAGUUUACAGAAGAGACAGGAGGAAAUCCCUGGCGGUUAUAUGCUAGAUGGCUUAGUGGCUGAGCUGCAGGUGGUCUUCGUUAGCUUCUGGUGGCACAGGUGUGGGACAGCUGGGAGCAGUGGAGGUGCCUGGUGGGGCAACUGUGCUUGGCAGAGGAGGUGCUGUUGGAGGAGCCACAGUUG